rnacentral:rRNA from 1 species
CCCUUAGAUGUUCUGGGCCGCACGCGCGCUACACUGAUGCAUUCAACGAGUGUACCUUGGCCGAGAGGCCUGGGCAAUCUUUUGAACGUGCAUCGUGAUAGGGAUAGAUUAUUGCAAUUAUUAAUCUUGAACGAGGAAUUCCUAGUAAACGCAGUUCAUCAAACUGCAUCGAUUAAGUCCCUGCCCUUUGUACACACCGCCCGUCGCUACUACCGAUUGAACGUUUUAGUGAGGCAUUUGGACCGACGCAUCUCAGUUUAACCACUGGUUUGUGUUGGAAAGACUUCCAAACUUGAGCGUUUAGAGGAAGUAAAAGUCGUAACA